rnacentral:misc_RNA from 1 species
UGGCUUAAUCUUUGAGACAAGCAUAUGACUACUGGCAGGAUCAACCAGGUAGCAUUCCUCUUCGACGUAGCCCACCAUGCAAGGACAAGCCAAGACAUGACAGGCAAUCGUUUUGGAGAAGCGAGAACGCUUAACGAGGGCAAAUUCAGGAUCUUAUAAGAACCAUGCCCACAUCAGGUUCUGUAUACAGGAGACCAAGCGAUGCUUCAUAGGCCACAUCAUCUUGCAAAUGCAACGACAAGGUGGAUCACAAAGACCGCUUCAACGUCCAUCCCACGCCGCAAGAGCGACGCAUGACGAAAAGCAACAUCAUAAAACCAGCACGUUACCAUCGAUUAGGUAUGCAACACAGGAAACCCACAAUAUGCUCAAGACAAACGAAGCCUUGCCGCAAAACUGAAGAGGUAUGCCGCGUGGACGUUGUUGCGCAAGCAAACAGCCAACCACCCGUAACAAACCAAACACCACUCAUGCACCUCCCCGGUCGACAUUCCCGAAAGCCGCCCGACUAGUAGCGACCCACCCAACCAAAAGGCCAAGCAAGCAACCAAAAGCCAAAACAGCCCCCAGAAUGCACC